rnacentral:rRNA from 2 species
UUGCUGGAGGUAUCAGAAGUGCGAAUGCUGACAUAAGUAACGAUAAAGCGGGUGAAAAGCCCGCUCGCCGGAAGACCAAGGGUUCCUGUCCAACGUUAAUCGGGGCAGGGUGAGUCGACCCCUAAGGCGAGGCCGAAAGGCGUAGUCGAUGGGAAACAGGUUAAUAUUCCUGUACUUGGUGUUACUGCGAAGGGGGGACGGAGAAGGCUAUGUUGGCCGGGCGACGGUUGUCCCGGUUUAAGCGUGUAGGCUGGUUUUCCAGGCAAAUCCGGAAAAUCAAGGCUGAGGCGUGAUGACGAGGCACUACGGUGCUGAAGCGACAAAUGCCCUGCUUCCAGGAAAAGCCUCUAAGCAUCAGGUAACAUCAAAUCGUACCCCAAACCGACACAGGUGGUCAGGUAGAGAAUACCAAGGCGCUUGAGAGAACUCGGGUGAAGGAACUAGGCAAAAUGGUGCCGUAACUUCGGGAGAAGGCACGCUGAUAUGUAGGUGAAGCGACUUGCUCGUGGAGCUGAAAUCAGUCGAAGAUACCAGCUGGCUGCAACUGUUUAUUAAAAACACAGCACUGUGCAAACACGAAAGUGGACGUAUACGGUGUGACGCCUGCCCGGUGCCGGAAGGUUAAUUGAUGGGGUUAGCGGUAACGCGAAGCUCUUGAUCGAAGCCCCGGUAAACGGCGGCCGUAACUAUAACGGUCCUAAGGUAGCGAAAUUCCUUGUCGGGUAAGUUCCGACCUGCACGAAUGGCGUAAUGAUGGCCAGGCUGUCUCCACCCGAGACUCAGUGAAAUUGAACUCGCUGUGAAGAUGCAGUGUACCCGCGGCAAGACGGAAAGACCCCGUGAACCUUUACUAUAGCUUGACACUGAACAUUGAGCCUUGAUGUGUAGGAUAGGUGGGAGGCUUUGAAGUGUGGACGCCAGUCUGCAUGGAGCCGACCUUGAAAUACCACCCUUUAAUGUUUGAUGUUCUAACGUGGGCCCCUUACCGGGGUUGCGGACAGUGUCUGGUGGGUAGUUUGACUGGGGCGGUCUCCUCCUAAAGAGUAACGGAGGAGCACGAAGGUUGGCUAAUCCUGGUCGGACAUCAGGAGGUUAGUGCAAUGGCAUAAGCCAGCUUGACUGCGAGCGUGACGGCGCGAGCAGGUGCGAAAGCAGGUCAUAGUGAUCCGGUGGUUCUGAAUGGAAGGGCCAUCGCUCAACGGAUAAAAGGUACUCCGGGGAUAACAGGCUGAUACCGCCCAAGAGUUCAUAUCGACGGCGGUGUUUGGCACCUCGAUGUCGGCUCAUCACAUCCUGGGGCUGAAGUAGGUCCCAAGGGUAUGGCUGUUCGCCAUUUAAAGUGGUACGCGAGCUGGGUUUAGAACGUCGUGAGACAGUUCGGUCCCUAUCUGCCGUGGGCGCUGGAGAACUGAGGGGGGCUGCUCCUAGUACGAGAGGACCGGAGUGGACGCAUCACUGGUGUUCGGGUUGUCAUGCCAAUGGCACUGCCCGGUAGCUAAAUGCGGAAGAGAUAAGUGCUGAAAGCAUCUAAGCACGAAACUUGCCCCGAGAUGAGUUCUCCCUGACUCCUUGAGAGUCCUGAAGGAACGUUGAAGACGACGACGUUGAUAGGCCGGGUGUGUAAGCGCAGCGAUGCGUUGAGCUAACCGGUACUAAUGAACCGUGAGGCUUAACCUUACAACGCCGAAG